rnacentral:rRNA from 1 species
UACGUAGGUGGCAAGCGUUGUCCGGAUUUAUUGGGUUUAAAGGGUGCGUAGGCGGCUUAUUAAGUCAGUGGUGAAAUACUCUAGCUCAACUAGAGGGGUGCCAUUGAUACUGAUGAGCUUGAGUACAGAUGAGGUAGGCGGAAUUGACGGUGUAGCGGUGAAAUGCUUAGAUAUCGUCAAGAACACCUAUAGCGAAGGCAGCUUACUAGGCUGUAACUGACGCUGAGGCACGAAAGUGUGGGGAUCAAAACAGG